rnacentral:rRNA from 1 species
UACGUAGGGUGCAAGCGUUAAUCGGAAUUACUGGGCGUAAAGCGUGCGCAGGCGGUUGUGCAAGACCGAUGUGAAAUCCCCGGGCUUAACCUGGGAAUGGCAUUGGUGACUGCACGGCUAGAGUGUGUCAGAGGGGGGUAGAAUUCCACGUGUAGCAGUGAAAUGCGUAGAUAUGUGGAGGAAUACCGAUGGCGAAGGCAGCCCCCUGGGAUAACACUGACGCUCAUGCACGAAAGCGUGGGGAGCAAACAGG